GCGAAGUGCCUUUCAGGCAUCCUCUCCCAAACUUUCAAGCCCGGCACUCGUGCCGGGCUUUUUUCUUGUCCGGC
rnacentral:sRNA from 1 species